rnacentral:rRNA from 1 species
UACGGAGGGUGCAAGCGUUAAUCGGAAUUACUGGGCGUAAAGCGCGCGCAGGCGGCUUGUUAAGUCAGAUGUGAAAUCCCCGGGCUCAACCUGGGAACUGCAUCUGAUACUGGCAGGCUUGAGUGUGGUAGAGGGGGGUAGAAUUCCAGGUGUAGCGGUGAAAUGCGUAGAGAUCGGGAGGAACACCGGUGGCGAAGGCGGCCCCCUGGACGAAUACUGACGCUGAGGUGCGAAAGCGUGGGGAGCAAACAGG